UCUAAACCAGACUCCAAAUUACAAUGGCGUCCGCCUGGAAACUACGAGCACUAGCUUAAAACCCAAAGGACCUGACGGUGUCUUAGAUCCCCCUAGAGGAGCCUGUUCUAGAACCGAUUAUCCUCGUUGAACCUCACCACUUCUAGUCUUGCCAGCCUAUAUACCGCCGUCGUCAGCUUACCCUGUGAAGGAAAAGAAGUAAGCAGAAUGGGCACAGCCCAGUACGUCAGGUCGAGGUGUAGCAUAUGAAGCGGGAAGAAAUGGGCUACAUUCUCUGCAGUUAGAGUAUUACGAAUGCGCAACAUGAAACAUGUGCCAGAAGGAGGAUUUAGUAGUAAAAUGGAAACAGAGUGUCCUUUUGAACCCGGCUCUAAGAUGCGUACACACCGCCCGUCACCCUCUGCAGUCAACACACACCGCCCGU
rnacentral:rRNA from 1 species